rnacentral:sRNA from 1 species
AAAUAGCCCCGGUAGCAGCGGUAUCCCGAACCCUUUUGGGUGAGGAUAUAGCGAAUAACGGGACAGAUC